GCAAGUCGGACGGUAACAUGAGGUGCUUGCACUUUGAUGACGAGUGGCGCACGGGUGCGUAACGCGUAUAGAACCUACCCUGUACAGGGGGAUAGCCCAGAGAAAUUUGGAUUAAUACCCCGUGGUAACUAUAAAUGGCAUCAUUUAUAGUUUAAAGUUUUCGGACGGUACAGGAUGGCUAUGCGUCCUAUUAGUUAGAUGGUGAGGUAACGGCUCACCAUGGCAUCGAUAGGUAGGGGCCCUGAGAGGGGGAUCCCCCACACUGGUACUGAGACACGGACCAGACUCCUACGGGAGGCAGCAGUGAGGAAUAUUGGACAAUGGGCGUAAGCCUGAUCCAGCCAUGCCGCGUGCAGGAAGACGGCCCUAUGGGUUGUAAACUGCUUUUAUACGGGAAGAAUAAGGGACACGAGUGUCCUGGUGACGGUACCGUAAGAAUAAGGACCGGCUAACUCCGUGCCAGCAGCCGCGGUAAUACGGAGGGUCCGAGCGUUAUCCGGAAUUAUUGGGUUUAAAGGGUCCGCAGGCGGGCAAUUAAGUCAGGGGUGAAAUGGUACGGCUCAACCGUAGCACUGCCCUUGAUACUGGUUGUCUUGAGUCAUAGUGAAGUGGCCGGAAUAUGUAGUGUAGCGGUGAAAUGCAUAGAUAUUACAUAGAACACCGAUUGCGAAGGCAGGUCACUAACUAUCGACUGACGCUGAUGGACGAAAGCGUGGGGAGCGAACGGGAUUAGAUACCCCGGUAGUCCACGCCGUAAACGAUGGAUACUAGCUGUCCGCUGCCUUGAGCAGUGGGCGGCCCAGCGAAAGUGAUAAGUAUCCCACCUGGGGAGUACGUUCGCAAGAAUGAAACUCAAAGGAAUUGACGGGGGCCCGCACAAGCGGUGGAGCAUGUGGUUUAAUUCGAUGAUACGCGAGGAACCUUACCAGGGCUUAAAUGCAUAAUGACAGGUCUAGAGAUAGACUUUUCUUCGGACAUUUUGCAAGGUGCUGCAUGGUUGUCGUCAGCUC
rnacentral:rRNA from 1 species